rnacentral:rRNA from 1 species
CCUACGGGAGGCAGCAGUGGGGAAUAUUGGGCAAUGGAGGCAACUCUGACCCAGCAACGCCGCGUGAAUGAUGAAGGUCUUCGGAUUGUAAAGUUCUGUGAUGGGGGAUGACCACAAUAACGGUACCCCAAUAGCAAGCCACGGCUAACUACGUGCCAGCAGCCGCGGUAAUACGUAGGUGGCAAGCGUUAUCCGGAAGGACUGGGCGUAAGGGGUGCGUAGGUGGUUUAGUAAGUUGGCGGUGUAAUUCCGGGGCUCAACCUCGGCGCUACCGCCAAAACUAUUAGACUAGAGUGCAGGAGGGGUAAGUGGAAUUCCUAGUGUAGCGGUGGAAUGCGUAGAUAUUAGGAGGAACAUCAGGGGCGAAGGCGACUUACUGGACUGUAACUGACACUGAGGCACGAAAGCGUGGGGAGCAAACAGGAUUAGAUACCCCAGUAGUC